rnacentral:rRNA from 1 species
AUACGGAGGGUGCAAGCGUUAAUCGGAAUUACUGGGCGUAAAGCGUACGUAGGCGGCAAGUUAAGUUAGAUGUGAAAGCCCCGGGCUCAACCUGGGAACUGCAUUUAAAACUGGCUUGCUAGAGUUGGGUAGAGGGGAGUGGAAUUUCAGGUGUAGCGGUGAAAUGCGUAGAGAUCUGAAGGAACACCAGUGGCGAAGGCGACUCCCUGGACUCGAACUGACGCUGAGGUACGAAAGCGUGGGUAGCAAACGGGAUUAGAAACCCUAGUAGUCC